CGUCUCGAAGUCUUGCUUUCUCGAUCUCUUUCCUUUCGUGAACCCCCUUUUCUUACACCUGUGCACCCAUUGUAGGUCCCGCGAGGGAUCUAUGUCUCUAUCUACUCUUAAAUGUAUGGCCUAGAAUGUCUUGAAACGUCGUCCGGCCUGGCUAACGCUUGGUUGGCGGCAGUAAAGAACCUUAUACAACUUUCAGCAACGGAUCUCUUGGCUCUCGCAUCGAUGAAGAACGCAGCGAAUUGCGAUACGUAAUGUGAAUUGCAGAUUUUCAGUGAAUCAUCGAAUCUUUGAACGCACCUUGCGCUCCUUGGUAUUCCGAGGAGCAUGCCUGUUUGAGUGUCAUUAAAUUCUCAACCAUCCUUUGAUUCAUUUCGAGGGUUGGCUUGGAUCUUGGGAGCUGCCGGCGACUCACNGGGGUCUUGUCGGCUCUCCUUAAAAGUAUUAGCGAACGGGUGUGACGAGCUUUCGUGCAUGAAACGGCCUUUGACGUGAUAAUGAUCGUCGUGGCUGGAGUGCUUUUUUGAAAGAGGCUUUGAUCGUCUUUUGCUUCCAAUCUUUGAUCGUANAUGGAAGGGCGGAACUCUGCUCCGGCGGACGGAAACUUUCCUUUUUACUUUCACUUUUUGACUUUUUGACCUCAAAUCAAGUAGGACUACCCGCUGAACUUAAGCCAUAUCCAAUAACCGGAGGAA
rnacentral:rRNA from 1 species